ensembl:lncRNA probable DNA-directed RNA polymerase subunit delta
AUUGCUCAGCUUGGAACAAGAUGGUCUUUAGGGUCUCUUCCAAGCCCAGCCACCCAGGGAUUCCAUCAUUCAUUCUACGGUCUCCGUUGUCCACUUCAGCCUGGGCCUGAACUCCUGGCACUUCAGCCUGGGCCUGAACUCCUGGCAGUGAUGUCACAGUGCAUGCUCCAGCUAGAACUUCCAGCAUCCAGCAACGGCCACAACACAACCCUUGGCUCCUUGUGUCAGCAUGCUCUUCACCCUGCUCCAAGCCUACCCCUGUCACCUUGCUUAUCACCUGCUCCCGGAUACCUCCAUCAUUCCCCAAAGCUCCCCAUUGCUUGGAUUUUGCUAUCCAUCCGUGCACGAUGUCUGCAUUUGCUCCAAAGAAGUUAUGUCUGCCACAGACAGAGAGGAGGAGAUGGAGGUCAAUACACAGAUUGAUAGAGAGGAGGACAUGGAAGUGGACAGAGAGGAGACUCGAGAAGAAAAGAUGGAUGUGGAUGUGACAGAGAUGGAGGAAGAGAUGGAGGUGGAUACAAAGAUUGAUACAGAAGAGCACAUGGAAGUGGAUGGAGAGGAGACCGGAGAGGAAGAGAUGGAGAUCGAAAUGGAAGACCACAUUGAGGAGAUGGAUAUUGAUGGAAAAGAUGAAGAGGAGGAGGACAUGGUCUUGGGAUGAAGACCGAUGCCAGCAGCAGAACAGGCAGGUGCUCCCCACAGGCAGAGUGGGUCCCCUGCUGUCAGCCUGGGGCUUGGCUGGGCACUCCCUGCUUAGGGACACGCUAGCCCAUGCACUGGAUUCUGCUGGCCAUCCCUAGCCUGGGCUUGCUUUGGGCCACACAAGCCCUGUUCCCGUGCCUGGACCAUAGCCCCCAGCCAGGCUCACUUCUGGCAGCAGAGUCCCACUGGGCCAGUGUCCCAGCCCGGCAGCACAUGGAACACCCUUCCGUGCCUGACUGCACUGACCGUGCUACUUGUUUUUCUUCCAGGACUUAGGGACAUCACAGACACAGAUGCCACCCUUCUGUGUAUAGGUUUUAGAGAUGUUAUGUUCGCAAUAGAAGUUUUAGAGUUUGCUUAUGUCUACUGUAAAUACGUUUCAUAUAGUUUGGUUAGAUAUGUUCUUAGGUAAAUAGGUUCUAUAGUUUGUUGUUGUUGUUACAAAUAUUCUUACAAUGUAAAUAUGUUGUGUAGUUCAUUCUCAUUCUUUUUCUUCUACAAAUAAACAUUCUUUGCUUUUCA